GAGUUUGAUCCUGACUCAGGACGAACGCUGGCGGCGUGCCUAACACAUGCAAGUCGAACGGGACUUGCCCCUUCGGGGACAAGUUUAGUGGCGGACGGGUGAGUAACGCGUGAGCAACCUGCCUUUCAGUGGGGGACAACAGUUGGAAACGACUGCUAAUACCGCAUAACACUUAUUAGGGACAUCUCUGAUAAGUCAAAGAUUUAUUGCUGAAAGAUGGGCUCGCGUCUGAUUAGCUAGUUGGUGGGGUAACGCCUACCAAAGCGACGAUCCAUAGCCGGCCUGAGAGGUGAACGGCCACAUUGGGACUGAGACACGGCCCAGACUCCUAC
rnacentral:rRNA from 1 species